CUGAUUUGUGGUUAAGUCCACUUUUCCUAGCCAAUUUGGCCUUCUGCCAAUUUAAUUGGGCCUGGUCUGGGCCUGUUUUAGGGCUAAUUGGGCCUGCUGGGGUCAACCUUUUAUGAACAUGGUUCGGACCCAUUUUAAUGGGGUUCAAAUUUAGCCCAAUUUGCUUAAUUUGGGUUCAUUCAGGCUAUGUUGGGUUCAGACCCAACAUCAAUUAGGCUUAAUUGACUCGUUUAAUUCGAUUGGGCUUGGAUCAACCCUACAUUGGGCUCACCCCAAACCGAUUUGAAUCAUUU
rnacentral:lncRNA from 1 species